GCCGGGCGCGGUGGCACGUGCCUGUAGUCCCAGCUACUCGGGAGACUGAGGUGGGAGGAUCACUUGAGCCCAGGAGUUCUGGGCUGUAGUGCGCUAUGCUGAUCGGGUCUCCACACUAAGUUUGGCAUCAAUAUGGUGACCUCCCGGGAGCGGGGAACCACCAGGUUGCCUAAGGAGAGCUGAACUGGCCCAGGUCAGAAACGGAGCAGGUCAAAACUCCCAUGCUGAUCAGUAGCGGGAUCGCACCUGUGAAUAGCCACUGCACUCCAGCCUGGGCAACAUAGUGAGGCCCCAUCUUU
rnacentral:SRP_RNA from 1 species